ensembl:miRNA mir-800 ncRNA
ACGGCGGCUGACAAUUUCCGAGUUAGGCCACUCUUAUAAUCAGUGGCCAAACUCGGAAAUUGUCUGCCGCCGU